CUGUCACUGGUCCCUGGAAGUAACAGACUAAUAACAGGAAGUCUUCCAUGACCCCUGUUCUAUUCUUUUUGUAUGAAGGGAAAGAAACCCACUAAAAUCAGAUCAUGGCCAAAAGGAGGGGCAUUCUUUUGAGAAUACAACAACAGAGUCCUCUUCUGACUCAUGUUGCACAGUGUCCAGCGUGGUCUCUGUCAGCUGCUCUUUCUACAUUGUGACUUUCGGCUCUGUCUGAUUGCAUAAUUCUCAAGCGACAGCAAACUUUAAAGCUCAAGCCAGAGAAAACCCCGGUCACAGCAGAGUGAAUGCAUGGGCUGGAUUUCUGUGAGGCAUCUGAUCAAAUCAUUUGGGACCACAAGAGCAGGGCCAUGUCCCAGGAAUAAACCUCCAGUUUUCUGCUGACAAAGGGGAAGAGAUAGUCACCAGCUGCAUGGAACUGGGGAGAAGUUCUGGCCCUCUAACUGCUUCUUAAACAGACUUUGAACCAAUUUGCCUGUUUUUUAGUCCUACCCUCACAGCCUCUAACAGAAGUAUCUGGUGUAGCCCAUUUUGCAUAUGUCUGGUUACAUCUUGGUUUUCUUCUCUUUUGGUUUAGGGUUAGGCUUUCUUUGGUCUGUUAAAGCAUUUAUCAAGUGUCCCCCUGUUUUUCCAUCCACCAUUGUGUUAUUCUCGUCAUGUCUUGCCAAUUCUCUUUGUCCCCGAGGAUUUAUGCCUUUAAAAAAGGCAUUCUUUUGUCUUAGUAUGGUCUGGGGAGAAAGUGAAAGCAAAUGUACCUGUUUGAUCCAUCAUCUUUUUCCAGACGUCCCUGUUUGCAUGAUUUUCUUUUUUUAAUGUUUAAAAAUCACUUUUAUUGAGGUACAUUUGAUACAUAGUAAAAUUCUUUGAUUUUAGGUCUAUGAUUCAAUGAGUUUUGACAGAUAUAUGCAGUCAUAUAACCACCAAUAUCAUAAUGUAGAGCAUUUCUAUCACUGCAAAAAGUGCCCUUGUGCCCAUUUAUAGUCAAUUUCCUCUGCUCACCCGAUCCUAGGAGACACAAGCCUGCUUUCUGUCACUACAGUUGUGUCCUUCUAGAAUUUCACAUAAAGUUGUUUAUAAUAUUCCCUUAUCCUCCUAAUGUUUGUAGAAUCUGUAGUGUUUGUGCCACCUGUUUCACAAUAUUAGGAAUUUCUUUCUUUCCCAAUAAGUCUAAUUAGAGGCUUAUCAAUUUUAUUAAGAUUUGUAAAGAAAUAUCUUUUGGUGUCAUUGAGUUUCUCCAUUUCUUUCUGGUUUUGAUUUCAUUAAUUUCUAUCCUUCACUAUGUUUGUUUCUUUUAUAUAAAAGAUAACAGUCCUUAGCUGCCCAUUAUUAAUAUGAUGAAAAGACAUUUUUAAUAUGUUUUGUCUAAUUUUAUUUUAUUGGUAUAUAGUAUUCCUUUGAUUGGCAAUUCUAUUAUUAGUUAGGGCAUUGCUUUGAAUGUUUUCUUGGCCAUAUACUUUUCUAUUUCUGGUA